ACGAACGCUGGCGGCGUGCUUAACACAUGCAAGUCGAACGGAAAGGCCCUGCUUUUGUGGGGUGCUCGAGUGGCGAACGGGUGAGUAACACGCGAGUAACCUGCCCUUGACUUUGGGAUAACUUCAGGAAACUGGGGCUAAUACCGGAUAGGAGCUCCUGCUGCAUGGUGGGGGUUGGAAAGUUUCGGCGGUUGGGGAUGGACUCGCGGCUUAUCAGCUUGUUGGUGGGGUAGUGGCUUACCAAGGCUUUGACGGGUAGCCGGCCUGAGAGGGUGACCGGCCACAUUGGGACUGAGAUACGGCCCAGACUCCUACGGGAGGCAGCAGUGGGGAAUAUUGCACAAUGGGCGGAAGCCUGAUGCAGCAACGCCGCGUGCGGGAUGACGGCCUUCGGGUUGUAAACCGCUUUCGCCUGUGACGAAGUGUGAGUGACGGUAAUGGGUAAAGAAGCACCGGCUAACUACGUG
rnacentral:rRNA from 1 species